CUACAGUGGUGCCUCGCAAGACGAAAAUAAUCAGUUCCACGAGUCUCUUCGUCUAGCGGUUUUUUCGUCUUGCGAAGCAACCCUAUUAGCGGAUUAGCACUAUUAGCGGCUUAGCGGCUAAAAGGCUAUUAGCGGCUUAGAAAAAGGGGGGGGGGGA